UACGUAGGGGGCUAGCGUUGUCCGGAAUCAUUGGGCGUAAAGCGCGUGUAGGCGGUUCGGUAAGUCCGCUGUGAAAGUCGGGGGCUCAACCCUCGGAUGCCGGUGGAUACUGUCGGACUAGAGUACGGAAGAGGCGAGUGGAAUUUCUGGUGUAGCGGUGAAAUGCGCAGAUAUCAGGAGGAACACCGAUUGCGAAGGCAGCUCGCUGGGACGUUACUGACGCUGAGACGCGAAAGCGUGGGGAGCAAACAGG
rnacentral:rRNA from 1 species